rnacentral:rRNA from 1 species
GCGAAUGGCUCAUUAAAUCAGCUAUGGUUUAUUGGAUCGUACCCGUUAAAUGGAUAACUGUAAUAACUCUAGAGCUAAUACAUGCCUCGAUGCCCUGACUCUGUCUGCUGUGCUAUGCUAUGCUAUGCCAAGCCGAGAGGGAAUGGGUGCACUUAUUAGAUCAGAAGCCAACCAACGAUGCGUGUGCGGCUACAAGGUCGUGGCGUGCGUUGUUGAGACACUUCUGGUGACUCUGGAUAAUUGUUACAGAUCGCAGUCGGCCUUGAGUCGGCGACGGGUCCUUCAAAUGUCUGCCCUAUCAACUUUCGAUGGUAGGUGACCUGCCUACCAUGGUGAUAACGGGUAACGGGGAAUCAGGGUUCGAUUCCGGAGAGGGAGCCUGAGAAACGGCUACCACUUCCAAGGGAGGCAGCAGGCGCGCAAAUUACCCACUCCCAGUACGGGGAGGUGGUGACGAAAAAUACCGAUGCGGGACUCCUCAAAGAGGCUCCGUAAUCGGAAUGAGUGGACUCUAAAUCCUUUCACGAGGAUCCAUUGGAGGGCAAGUCUGGUGCCAGCAGCCGCGGUAACUCCAGCUCCAAUAGCGUAUAUUAAAGUUGCUGCAGUUAAAAAGCUCGUAGUUGGAUCUCGGUAGCACUGUUGCCCGUCGGUAUUUGAGCGGCUGGUGUGUGGCAGAUAACGCGCGGCCUCAGCUUCUGACGGUCUGCUAGCGGGUGCGUCGACGGUCGGGUGGUCUGCUUGGUCGGUGUAUUGACCUAUUCAUGGGUCGGUCGCUGGUCGGUCGGUCGGUCGGUCGCGUGCUCCUCUCCUCGCUGACUCAAUCGCUCACUCACUUACUCACUCACUCAUUCGUUGGUUUGCUCGGUCGCCCAUGCGACACCGGCUGUCUGCUGGCUGUCUACCGGCUGGCUGGCUGGCUGGCUGGUCGUGCUGGUGCAUGGCUGGGUAGAUAAGUGGGUGGUGGUUGUUUGGAUGGUGGGUUGGGUGUGCGUGGACGUGAACGGCUCAUCCGUUCGUUGAUGUGUCUGUUGCAGCGCAGGGCGGGGCUGGGUUGUUGUGGCCAUUGAAUAACGCUGUCGUGUCAAGCCGACAAGGCGGUGGUGUCACCUUUGAGCCAUGUCUGUGGUGUAGCAGCCGCAGGUGUGGGCGGGUGUUGGACAGUGCUCCGCACACGCUGUGGGGCCUGUCGACUCGUCUGCAUGCCUUUGGAUGCCCUUCAAAAGGUGUCCGUGGGCGGAUGGCACGUUUACUUUGAACAAAUUUGAGUGCUCAAAUCAGGCCGAUGUUGCCUGAAAAGUUUUGCAUGGAAUAAUGGAAUAGGACUUCGGCUCUAUUUCGUUGGUUUUCGGAUCCGAAGUAAUGAUCAAAAGAGACGGGCGGGGACGUUUGUAUGGCUGCGCUAGAGGUGAAAUUCAUGGACCGUAGCCAGACAGACUAAAGCGAAAGCAUUCGUCAAGCAUGUUUUCAUUGGCCAUGAGCGAAAGUCAGAGGCUCGAAGACGAUCAGAUACCGUCCUAGUUCUGACCAUAAACGAUGCCAACUGACGAUCCGUGGUGGUAGUAGUGUUACCUUCCCCACGGGCAGUCCCCGGGAAACCUUUAAGUGUUUGGGUUCCGGGGGAAGUAUGGUUGCAAAGCUGAAACUUAAAGGAAUUGACGGAAGGGCACCACCAGGAGUGGAGCCUGCGGCUUAAUUUGACUCAACACGGGAAAACUCACCCGGGCCGGACACUGUGAGGAUUGACAGAUUGAGAGUUCUUUCUUGAUUUGGUGGUUGGUGGUGCAUGGCCGUUCUUAGUUGGUGGAGCGAUUUGUCUGGUUAAUUCCGAUAACGAACGAGACUCCAGCCUGCUAAUUAGUGCGUUUGUCCACUGCGCCUGCGUAGGUGACGCUGGAUGGCACCACCUGCCACGAGGACGUGGCAGCGGCUCUUCUCUCCGCUUCUCCGCUCGAGUGCUCUCCAGCGCCUCCUCCUCCUGCUUCUCCUCCUCCUCCUUCUUCAGCGCCUCAUCUGGCUGGCUGGCUGGCUGGCCGGGUGAGGUGGCGGUGGUGGUGGUAGCGGUGGGGUGGGGAUGGUGCGGGUGGGCGAGUGGAUUGUGGUGGAGGUGUGGGGUUGGGUGCGGCGCUCGUGGCCGGUUAGUCUGGCGUUGGCCUCCGGGUGUGGCGCGAAUGCCUACUUCUUAGAGGGACAAGCGGGAGAAGCCGCACGAAAUAGAGCAAUAACAGGUCUGUGAUGCCCUUAGAUGUCCGGGGCCGCACGCGCGCUACAAUGACGGUGUCAACGAGUUAGACCUUCUGGCCCGAAAGGGUUGGGCAAACUGGUCAAUCACCGUCAUGACAGGGAUCGGGGCUUGGAAUUGUUCCCCGUGAACGAGGAAUUCCUAGUAAGUGCAAGUCAUAAGCUUGCGCUGAUUACGUCCCUGCCCUUUGUACACACCGCCCGUCGCUACUACCGAUUGAAUGGUUUAGUAAGGUCCUUGGAUUGGCGUCAUUGUGGUGGCCGCCGAGAGGCGACUGCCCGUCAGGCGCUAAGAAGACGACCGAAA